GUUUUAAUAGUUUAAAAAUAAAAUAAUGAACUUGUAAUUCAUAGAUGGGGAAUAUUAACCUUUAAAACU
rnacentral:tRNA from 1 species